UACGUAGGGCGCAAGCGUUAUCCGGAAUUAUUGGGCGUAAAGAGCUCGUAGGCGGUUUGUCGCGUCUGCCGUGAAAGUCCGGGGCUCAACUCCGGAUCUGUGGUGGGUACGGGCAGACUAGAGUGCAGUAGGGGAGACUGGAAUUCCUGGUGUAGCGGUGAAAUGCGCAGAUAUCAGGAGGAACACCGAUGGCGAAGGCAGGUCUCUGGGCUGUAACUGACGCUGAGGAGCGAAAGCAUGGGGAGCGAACAGG
rnacentral:rRNA from 1 species